ACCCAAGCCAUUCCACCCUGAACCCACCUAGUUUGAUCUUGGAAGCUAAGCAGGGUCAGGCCUGGUUAGUACCUGGCUGGGAAACCAUCUGAGAAUACCCAGUGUUGUAGGCU
ensembl:rRNA Gm55932 nuclear encoded rRNA 5S 85